GCCGGGAUAGCUCAGUUGGUAGAGCAGGGGACGGAAAAUCCUCGGG
rnacentral:tRNA from 1 species